GGCCGACUAGCUCAGUUGGUUAGAGCGUCGUGCUAAUACACCCUAUUGACGCGAAGGUCUUGGGUUCGAUCCCCACGUUGGCCA
rnacentral:tRNA from 1 species